CCGAGUGAGGGUCCUCUCGGGCCCGACCUCCCAACCCUAUGUUUACUGAACCUCUGUUGCUUCGGCGGACCCGUCUCACGGCCGCCGGAGGAUUUUAAGUAGUCCUCUGGCCCGCGUCCGCCGACGGCCAACCUUUAAAACUCUGUAUGAAUCGUGUCAUGAUGUCUGAGUACAAUGAUUAAAUUAAAAGCA
rnacentral:misc_RNA from 1 species